GGGCGAUUAGCUCAGUUGGUUAGAGCGCCAGCUCGACAAGCUGGAGGUCAUUGGUUCGAGCCCAAUAUCGCCCACCA
rnacentral:tRNA from 2 species